CAGACUGACAGGAGAGCUCCCGCUGGGUGCAAGCACCAGGAGCGGAAUCUUCACUUCGCACACUCCUAAUAUGGUAAGCCCUGCAGACUGUGGGCCUGUGAGCAGGAGGGGGACCAGGCGGAGCUCCACGCCUCCGUGAGGUUAACCCCUUGGCAGAAGGCAGAAUGGAAGAGAGACUGACCACUGGUGGCUGCAGAUGCUCUGGUUACUAACAGCCACAAGUCAAGUCGACGUGAUCUGGAAGCCAGGAUCAGGUUGUCCUUCCAAACAGCAGUGUCUGCCGACAGUAAACUUCGGAUCAAAGCAGCAGGGCAAAAUGAACUGCCUCAGCCCCAUGGGUCACCGAAAUGAAACAGGAAAAGACAAAUAAAGGAAAAAGAAACAGCCUUCUCAGGCGAGUGGCAAAGGCAGCAGGACAGUGGAGGGACUGUCACGUGCAUGCCACGCCCUCCCCACAGGCUGUGUGUCGGCUCCGUCACAGCAGCUGCUGCCAGGAGCAUAGAGGAAAAUAGUGUCCAUGCUGGCUUUUUAUAACAGACCUGAGUAGUGAAUAGAGACUGCAAAGAAUGGGGCCAGGGCCACCAAAUAUUCUUCCCGGCCUUGGAGACCCCACCAUGCCAGGGCCUGGGCCGUUCAGUGCUUCACUGUUUACCAAGAUCCAGAGGAUGUGGCCCCUGCAGGGACAAUGAGGAAGAGCCAGUGAUUAGAUUAGCCCUGAGCUAGCAUCUGUGCCAGUCUUCCUGCAUUUUAUAUAAAGAAAAGAACUCCAGAUGGAGAGCUUCACGUUGUCGGCAGAUUUAGAAAAAGCCCCUGGAAUCCGCACGGGUGGUACAGCCGGGUGCAGACUGACAAGCGAGGAAUCUUCCAUCUCAUCGCCUCAAUUUCAGGCUUCAGAGAUGCCCGGCUCUGCUGUUCAAAGAGUUUUAUUAAAAAUUUGUGAGGAGGGAAAAGAAGUCUGUGCAGGCCUGUCUGGUGCCAUUACGUCUGACACAGCACACGGAGCCGCGGACCGCCCGGGACAGCCACCGCAGGGGGGUGCACAGCAGAGGCCAUGGGAGCCCCCGGGGAAUGGUCCCAGAUGCUCUAGUCUGGUGGGGUCCCUCCAGAAUCGUGAGUCUCCAUAUGUGACCCAGUGUAUACUUCCAGUCCUUAGACCACCAGCAUUCCAGUCAGAAGACAAACACCCACGGAUCCCAACGUUGAACUUGUCCCCUCGGUAUAACUUCUGCUACUGCUCCUCUCAUGAGCAAAACUCCCUUCUCUGAUCAUUUUCUCUGUAAACCUAGAUCGAGCGACACACUGCCAGCAGCUCCUCUGCAGCUAUGAAGUGUGGCAUGAAUCCAGCCUUCCCUGAAGCGGGGCGCUGCCACGCGGAUUGCAAUCUAGACAACGUCUGGAUCCCCCACAUUCUGGGCACAGACCUCACAAGACCCUUAAAGGCAGGGAUUCGCCUGACGGGCAGCCUGGCUGGUGUGCUCCAUAAGAAGGAGGGCUGGGUCCCCGGAAGGGAGUCAGUGCAGCCAGACAAGCUGCCUUAUCCCAUGCAGAUUUUUCUGGUUGCCAGGAGAGGUCUCCAGCCUGGAGUGGCCCUGCUGAAAGACACCCAGUGGAGCUCCGUGAAGGUUUGGGAUGAAUGAGGACGUGGGAGGGAGCGUACCGCGUAGCAGCAGCACAGAAGGAGCGUAGGUAGGCUGUAAACAGCCCCAGAUGGGCAUCUGGGUUCGGGCUCGGCUCAGCCUUUCUCAACCCGAGAUAAAGCUUGGGAUCAACUGAGAGCCUUUAAAAAAUAUUGAUGCCUGGGUACAACGUCCAGAACAAUUAAAAUAGGAUCAAAUUAGGAUCUCUGCCAUCGCCUAAAAGUCCUAGGACAAUGUGUAAGGUUAGAAAAAGUUUGGGAACAACGUAAGUGUGGAAAAUGCGAGGCUAAUGUGGAGGAUGAGUUUCACUGGUCACCCUGGCCGCCCAAUCACUCUUGGAGAGGUGGGAUGGCCAAAGAGGAAGGUGGAGCUAAGGUGACACAGGAGACGGAGGGCCACCUCCACUGCUCAGGCCCAGUGCUCUGGCCACUGCUCAAGGGCAGACUGAGGCCUGAGUCCAGAGCUGCCCCGGGGUCUUGGGGUCUUUGGAAAUGCGGACCAGUAGCCGGGGUGGAGAAUCUGACUCACUUAUCUAACCCACGGCCCCAAGCAUCUACCUUUGAUCCUUCUUUUUUUUUGAGGAAGAUUAGCCCUGAGAUAACUACUGCCAGUCCUCCUCUUUUUGCUGAGGAAGACUGGCCCUGAGCUAACAUCCGUGCCCAUCUUCCUCUACUUUAUAUGUGGGAAGCCUGACACAGCAUGGCUUUUGCCAAGUGGUGCCAUGUCCGCACCCGGGAUCCGAACCGGCAAACCCCGGGCUGCCGAGAAGCAGAAUGUGCCCACUUAACUGCUGCGCCACCAGGCCAGCCCCUAACUUUGAUCCUUUGUUAGGAUCGCACCAAAAGACACCAAAGACAAAAAGAUUCCUCCUUCCCUCUGUCAGAGCCCUUCCACCUUAUCUGCCUUGUCCCUGCUCAGCCUACUUCCCCUGCUCAGAGGGGAAAGGAGGGCAGCCCUGUUGUCUGGUAUGCUAGGAGGCCGUGUUACACUUGGCAAUGGUCCUGAUUUUUACUUGCAGCAUCACUGCCCCAUCCAGUGGGGUGGGGCAGCACGCUCCCUGUACCGCUGUAGAUGGUGACCCUGAGAAGGCCAAGACCAGACAGGCGUGCCACUGACACAGCAGUGCAAAUGACUGAAUACACACACACACACGCACACGCACAUGCACAGGGCAGUAAGCCACCAGCAGACAAAGAAAGGAAAAUACCAGCGAUAACAAAGCAGGAGAGUGACCCACGUUAACCCAGACAGUGCUCAAACGGCUCCACUAAACUGUGAUUUUCGUUGCUGCUUCUUAGCCCCAGAAAUUAUGCUUUCCUUUGAAGAGCUGAUGUAGCACUCUAAAUGAUACAUUCAGUACGAGAAGUCCGUGUUCUGUUUCCCCGCAGGAUGUAAUCGAGACUGGAUACAUGGCCUGGUGUCUAAUUCUCCAGUUACAUAAUUAGUAACUGCACAUCAGGCAAAAAAAAAAAAAAAAAAAAACCCAGCCCUGAGAGAGCAUCUCAGAGGAGGCACAGCUGAGGCGGUUCUCAAAUUCCUCAGUGCUCAGGCUUCUUAGCCCCCAGUCAUUAUUGUUUGUUGGUUUCUUCUUCUGUUGUCAUAGCCAUUAGUACUAUCACGAUGCGAUCACUGUUGAGAGAAUGUUGCUCUAGAAAUCUGAGGACUGGAGAGCAGGAGGGAGAAGGGUAUGGCCUUGGCAGCAUCUCAGAACCACAGUUCUGGAUCUCCCAGAAGCCUCCAGGGGGCGCCUUCCAGCUCGGAGUCUCCUGAGACCCCAAGCAUGUCACAAUGCACUCUUGGUGAACGCCCCCGCGGAGGGCAGGGCAGCCUAAAGGAGAGGAGUCACAGGGCCUUAGCCAGGAGGCUCCAGGCUCAAGAAUCUUCUCCCAGAACAUGUAAUCUUACAGUUCACUUAAUAGCGCAUACCUUAGGCCUCUCAUCUUCCUAAGAGGUCCUGUUCCUGGGGCAUCACCACUAACGAAGGCUGUGGUCCAAGGCUUCCCACCAAGUCUGGGAAAGGAAAUACAACAUGGCGGCAGGCUAAACGAGGCUCAGGAGUCCCUGUUCGGCCCUUCUCUUGCUUCACCCCCUCCUUGGAAGCAGGGCUUGGAGCUGGUUUCAUGCAACAUUCUUCCUCAGCUGAGAAUGCAGACACUCCCCCACGACCAGUCCUUAUCAACAGCUGUCCAGGGUCUGGGGCAUAUCAUUAGGUGAAGCCUUGGGGCAGCUGUGCCUCUGGUCCUUGACCCUGCAUUUAUUUUAGAGAUUAAAGAGCAGAGGGAGUGGGAAGAGAAGCAGACUCAGAGUCUGCACAUCAUCUCAGCCCCAUUGCACCAGGCGGCAGAGAAAAGCCUGAAAACCAGACGUCCUACUGGCCGCACAGCUCCUGCCUGAACCUUCCCCCAUUGCGUGCUCACCACAUUGAAGAGAGAAUAAAAUCGCCAGGUGUUUAACAAUCAUAACAGCUUUUAUUCAGUACUCAUUAUGUGCCAGAUAGGGAGUUAAACACUUUUUACACAUUAAAUUAUUUAAUCCGGUCAACUCCUGAGAGGUUUAUACUAUUUUCUCCCUUUUUGUGAGAGAAGAAACUGAGGCUUAGGAAGGGCAGGUGACUUGUCCAAGGUCACACAGCGUGCAUCUGUGAACGCAGGAUUCUGACCCAUACUGUCAACUCCACACGCAAAGAUGACAGAGAGGGAACUACUUGCUUCUGAAGUUUCAUGGCAUUGACAACCACCCCAGUCAUUUGGGAUUUGACAUAGUCUAAAAUGUUGCAUCAAUUUUCAUUUCAGGUUUUAUAAUCCCACAAAUAUUGCAAAUUCCUUGAGGUCAAAAACUGGCUGUUCUGCUUCUCUGUGUUCUUCCAAGUGUCAACAUAGCAAUUUGCACAAAAC
ensembl:lncRNA